rnacentral:rRNA from 1 species
UACAGAGGUCCCAAGCGUUGUUCGGAUUCACUGGGCGUAAAGGGUGCGUAGGUGGUGAGGUAAGUCGGAUGUGAAAUCUCCGAGCUCAACUCGGAAAUGGCAUUGGAAACUACCUUGCUUGAGGGUUGGAGGGGGGACUGGAAUACUUGGUGUAGCAGUGAAAUGCGUAGAUAUCAAGUGGAACACCAGUGGCGAAGGCGAGUCCCUGGACAACACCUGACACUGAGGCACGAAAGCUAGGGGAGCAAACAGG